rnacentral:rRNA from 1 species
AGCAGCCGCGGUAAUUCCAGCUCCAAUAGCGUAUAUUAAAGUUGCUGCAGUUAAAAAGCUCGUAGUUGAAUUUCGGGACCAUCAUGUCGGUCGUGCCUCGGUACGUACUGGCGUCAUUGAUUUCUCCCUUCUGACGAACCAUGAUGUCAUUAAUUUGGUGUUGUGGGAAAUCAGGACUGUUACUUUGAAAAAAUUGAGUGUUUAAAGCAGGCUCACGCUUGAAUACAUUAGCAUGGAAUAAUGAAAUAGGACGUUCGAUCCUAUUUUGUGGUUUUAGGAUCAACGUAAUGAUUAAUAGGGAUAGUUGGGGGCAUUAGUAUUCAAUUGUCAGAGGUGAAAUUCUUGGAUUUAUUGAAGACUAACUACUGCGAAAGCAUUUGCCAAGGAUGUU